rnacentral:rRNA from 1 species
GUACACGCUGUGACUAGCAUAUCAAUAAGCGGAGGAAAAGAAACUAACAAGGAUUCCCCUAGUAACGGCGAGUGAAGCGGGAAGAGCUCAAAUUUGAAAUCUUAAAGGGUUUCCCUUUACGAAUUGUAGUUUAAAGAAGUGUUUUCCGUUGAGGUUUUGGUAAAAGUUCUUUGGAAUAGGACAUCAUAGAGGGUGAGAAUCCCGUAUUUGACCUUUACUUUCAACUUUGUGAUACACUUUCAAAGAGUCGGAUUGUUUGGGAAUGCAGUCCAAAAUGGGUGGUAAAUUUCAUCUAAAGCUAAAUAUUGGCGAGAGACCGAUAGCGAACAAGUACCGUGAAGGAAAGAUGAAAAGAACUUUGAAAAGAGAGUUAAACAGUACGUGAAAUUGUCAAAAGGGAAGCGUUUGACACCAGUGUUGUUUUUCUGAAAAUCAAUUAAAGAACUGUUUAUGCUAAGUUGUUUAGACUUUAUCAGCUAUCUGUUUAGUUUUGAGCUUUUCUUUAAUGCACUUUUCAGUUAACAAGUCAACAUCAAUUUCUUUUGCUGUAAAGAAGCUUGAGGAAGGUGGCUUGAGAUUCGUCUUAAGUGUUUAUAGCCUCUUGCCUAUGCAGUCGGAGAGAUUGAGGUCUGCAGCGUAGAUCCUUCGGGGCUAAAUGCAUUUGUGCUAAGUUAUAGCAUUUUAUAGACAACUUGUUGACUAUGAUUUGUCUUGUAGCUUACUCGCUUAUGUUAUUUUACCUACGCUUAGGAUGUUGAAGAUGUAGCACAUCA